rnacentral:rRNA from 1 species
UACGAAGGGGGCUAGCGUUGCUCGGAAUCACUGGGCGUAAAGCGCACGUAGGCGGAUCUUUAAGUCAGAGGUGAAAUCCCGGAGCUCAACUCCGGAACUGCCUUUGAUACUGAGGACCUUGAGUCCGGGAGAGGUGAGUGGAACUGCGAGUGUAGAGGUGAAAUUCGUAGAUAUUCGCAAGAACACCAGUGGCGAAGGCGGCUCACUGGCCCGGUACUGACGCUGAGGCACGAAAGCGUGGGAGCAAACAGG